GACGAACGCUGGCGGCGUGCUUAACACAUGCAAGUCGAACGGAAAGGCCCUGCUUUUGUGGGGUGCUCGAGUGGCGAACGGGUGAGUAACACGUGAGUAACCUGCCCUUGACUUUGGGAUAACUUCAUGAAACUGGGGCUAAUACCGGAUAGGAGCUCCUGCUGCAUGGUGGGGGUUGGAAAGUUUCGGCGGUUGGGGAUGGACUCGCGGCUUAUCAGCUUGUUGGUGGGGUAGUGGAUUACCAAGGCUUUGACGGGUAGCCGGCCUGAGAGGGUGACCGGCCACAUUGGGACUGAGAUACGGCCCAGACUCCUACGGGAGGCAGCAGUGGGGAAUAUUGCACAAUGGGCGGAAGCAUGAUGCAGCAACGCCGCGUGCGGGAUGACGGCCUUCGGGUUGUAAACCGCUUUCGCCUGUGACGAAGCGUGAGUGACGGUAAUGGGUAAAGAAGCACCGGCUAACUACGUG
rnacentral:rRNA from 1 species